rnacentral:rRNA from 1 species
AUCAUGGCUCAGAUUGAACGCUGGCGGCAGGCUUAACACAUGCAAGUCGAGCGGAAACGAGAAUAGCUUGCUAUUCGGCGUCGAGCGGCGGACGGGUGAGUAAUGCUUGGGAAUAUGCCUUUGAGUGGGGGACAACAGUUGGAAACGACUGCUAAUACCGCAUAACGUCUACGGACCAAAGGGGGGGAUCUUCGGACCUCUCGCUCAUUGAUUAGCCCAAGUGAGAUUAGCUAGUUGGUAAGGUAAUGGCUUACCAAGGCGACGAUCUCUAGCUGGUUUGAGAGGAUGAUCAGCCACACUGGGACUGAGACACGGCCCAGACUCCUACGGGAGGCAGCAGUGGGGAAUAUUGCACAAUGGGCGAAAGCCUGAUGCAGCCAUGCCGCGUGUGUGAAGAAGGCCUUCGGGUUGUAAAGCACUUUCAGCGAGGAGGAAAGGAUGUUGUUUAAUACGCAACAUCUGUGACGUUACUCGCAGAAGAAGCACCGGCUAACUUCGUGCC